rnacentral:rRNA from 1 species
GAUGAACGCUGGCGGCGUGCUUAACACAUGCAAGUCGAACGGGAACCCAGGGGUGCUUGCACUUUUUGGUGAGAGUGGCGAACGGGUGAGUAACACGUGAGUAACCUGUCCUUUUCUUUUGGAUAAGCAUUCGAAAGGGUGUUUAAUACCUUAUGUUCUUUCUGCCUCGCAUGGGUUGGGUGGGAACGGCUUUGGCCGGAUUUGGGUGGGCUCGCGGUCUAUCAGCUUGUUGGUGGGGUGAUGACUUACCAAGGCUUUGACGGGUAGCCGGCCGGGGAGGGCGGUAGGGCAGAUUGGGACUGAGAUACGGCCCAGACUGCUCCGGGAGGCAGCAGUGGGGGAUAGUGCGGAAUGGGCGAAAACCUGAUGAAGCGACGCCGCGUAGGGGAUGAAGCGCGUCGGGUUGUAACCUUUUUUAGCCCUCAACAAGGCGUGACGGUGGGUGUGUGGAGGGUAGGGGUUGAUUAGCGCCGGCUAACUACGUG